CGGGGUGUGGUGUAGUUUGGCAGCAUGCGGCCUUUGGGAGGCUGAGGUCAGAGGUUCAAAUCCUCUCACCCCGA
rnacentral:tRNA from 1 species